rnacentral:rRNA from 1 species
UACGUAGGGUGCAAGCGUUGUCCGGAAUUAUUGGGCGUAAAGAGCUCGUAGGCGGUUUGUCGCGUCGGCUGUGAAAACUGGAGGCUUAACCUUCAGCGUGCAGUCGAUACGGGCAGACUUGAGUUCGGUAGGGGAGAGUGGAAUUCCUGGUGUAGCGGUGAAAUGCGCAGAUAUCAGGAAGAACACCCGUGGCGAAGGCGGCUCUCUGGGACGGUACUGACGCUGAGACGCGAAAGCGUGGGGAGCGAACAGG